GAUGAACGCUAGCUACAGGCUUAACACAUGCAAGUCGAGGGGUAACGAGAGGAAAGCUUGCUUUCCUUGUCGACGACCGGCGCGCGGGCGAGUAACGCGUAUCCAACCUGCCCCCAACUAGGGAAUAACCUUGCGAAAGUAAGACUAAUACCCUAUAAUUUCCUCAGAUGUCAUCUGACGAGGAAUAAAGAUUUAUCGGUUGUGGAUGGGGAUGCGUCUGAUUAGCUUGUUGGCGGGGUAACGGCCCUCCAAGGCAACGCUCAGUAGGGGUUCUGAGAGGAAGGUCCCCCACAUUGGAACUGAGACACGGUCCAAACUCCUACGGGAGGCAGCAGUGAGGAAUAUUGGUCAAUGGGCGGAAGCCUGAACCAGCCAAGUAGCGUGCAGGAUGACGGCCCUAUGGGUUGUAAACUGCUUUUAUACAGGAAUAAAGUUAGCCACGUGUGGUUAUUUGUAGGUACUGUAUGAAUAAGGACCGGCUAAUUCCGUGCCAGCAGCCGCAGUAA
rnacentral:rRNA from 1 species